GUUAAGCGACUAAGCGUACACGGUGGAUGCCCUGGCAGUCAGAGGCGAUGAAGGGCGUGCUAAUCUGCGAUAAGCGCCGGUAAGGUGAUAUGAACCGUUAUAACCGGCGAUACCCGAAUGGGGAAACCCAGUGUGACUCGUCACACUAUCAUUAACUGAAUCCAUAGGUUAAUGAGGCGAACCGGGGGAACUGAAACAUCUAAGUACCCCGAGGAAAAGAAAUCAACCGAGAUUCCCCCAGUAGCGGCGAGCGAACGGGGAGGAGCCCAGAGCCUGAAUCAGCAUGUGUGUUAGUGGAAGCGUCUGGAAAGGCGCGCGAUACAGGGUGACAGCCCCGUACACAAAAGCGCAUGUGCUGUGAGCUCGAUGAGUAGGGCGGGACACGUGGUAUCCUGUCUGAAUAUGGGGGGACCAUCCUCCAAGGCUAAAUACUCCUGACUGACCGAUAGUGAACCAGUACCGUGAGGGAAAGGCGAAAAGAACCCCGGCGAGGGGAGUGAAAAAGAACCUGAAACCGUGUACGUACAAGCAGUGGGAGCCCCACCACUAAGCCAGUGGUGAACUCCACAUACGCAUCCUUUGCUGAGGAUACGGUUAACGGAGCGCAAGCGACGUUCAACCUCAAAAGAAGCAGAGGGGGCUUAGUGGUGGGGUGACUGCGUACCUUUUGUAUAAUGGGUCAGCGACUUAUAUUCUGUAGCAAGGUUAACCGAAU
rnacentral:rRNA from 1 species